rnacentral:rRNA from 1 species
AUUGAACGCUGGCGGCAGGCCUAACACAUGCAAGUCGAGCGAGCGGCGGACGGGUGAGUAAUGUCUGGGAAACUGCCUGAUGGAGGGGGAUAACUACUGGAAACGGUAGCUAAUACCGCAUACCAUCAGAUGUGCCCAGAUGGGAUUAGCUAGUAGGGGGGGUAAUGGCUCACAUAGGCGACGAUCCCUAGCUGGUCUGAGAGGAUGAUCAGCCACACUGGGACUGAGACACGGCCCAGACUCCUACGGGAGGCAGCAGUGGGGAAUAUUGCACAAUGGGCGCAAGUCUGAUGCAGCAAUGCCGCGUGAUUGAAGAAGGCCUUCGGGUUGUAAAGCACUUUCAGCGGGGAGGCGUUACUGACAGAAGAAGCACCGGCUAACUCCGUGCCAGCAGCCGCGGUAAUUC